rfam:Tinamus guttatus contig43522, whole genome shotgun sequence.
ACUAAGGCUUUUUUUAAUGCCACAGAACUGGCAAAAGUAGAUUACAU